rnacentral:rRNA from 1 species
ACGGGUGAGUAACACGUGGGAACGUACCUUUUGGUUCGGAAUAACGCAGGGAAACUUGUGCUAAUACCGAAUGUGCCCUUCGGGGGAAAGAUUUAUCGCCAUUAGAGCGGCCCGCGUUAGAUUAGCUAGUUGGUGAGGUAAAGGCUCACCAAGGCUACGAUCUAUAGCUGGUCUGAGAGGAUGAUCAGCCACACUGGGACUGAGACACGGCCCAGACUCCUACGGGAGGCAGCAGUGGGGAAUCUUGCGCAAUGGGCGAAAGCCUGACGCAGCCAUGCCGCGUGAAUGAUGAAGGUCUUAGGAUUGUAAAAUUCUUUCAGUAGGGACGAUAAUGACGGUACCUACAGAAGAAGCCCCGGCUAACUUCGUGCCAGCAGCCGCGGUAAUACGAAGGGGGCUAGCGUUGCUCGGAAUUACUGGGCGUAAAGGGAGCGUAGGCGGGUUAUCAAGUUGGGGGUGAAAGCCCGGGGCUCAACCUCGGAAUUGCCUUCAAAACUGGUAGCCUAUAGUAUGAUAGAGGUAUGUGGAACUCCCAGUGUAGAGGUGAAAUUCGUAGA